UUAAAAUUAAAUUAUAUAUAUUAUAUCAAAUAAAAUUGGUUUUUUCUUAUUUAAAAAGAAUAGGUGACAAGAAACUUUUGGCCCACCCUAUAUGUUCUUCGUAACUGUAGGUAUUGUAGAUAUUAUCAAUGAUCGACAGAGGAGCCAUUCUACUUGAAAGAACAAGUCGGACGAAUCGAGAAUCCGGAAUGAAAAAUCAUCUUUUUCGAUCAAUUUUAAUUAAGUAAACAACCAGCUGGAAUUUUACAUACCAAAAUGCGUCAAAAAUAGAAUAUUUUCAACUGAAGAUCUCGUUCACGGAAAUGUAAAAACUUUCAACACUUUUGAUUAAAGUAGGUGAACAUUUGAAACUUGUGAAUUUAACCUAUACGAAAAGAUUUGAUUCUCAUUCUCGCACUCUACUAUCGAUUAUUCACUUCUUAACUAAUGUAAGUUCAACUAUACUUGACAAGGUAUCAAAGAAAGAUAUAAAAAAAUAUCUUCAAUGUUACCUUGUCCAUUCAUUAAAACAUAUCUUAUGGCGUGUACGUGUUACUCUAAAUUAUAUUUACAUUUUUUCUCAUUCAAUUGAAUUGAGAUUAAUUUAUAACAUACAGUUUUAUUUGCAGACGAGAAUAAGAGAGAUUUGAUGCUUGUUUAGGCUUGUGACGAGGACCAGGUCGACCAUCACGCCAUUGUUACGUCCGCAAGCGACACCGGGGAUUAUACAACGCCCGGGGUAACGCCCGAUUGAAAUUUAUUAGCUACAACUUCCUCUAAUAAAAGCAAGAUAAAUUGAUCGCAAGAUGUGUUUUCGAGCAACGUUCCUUAUUAUCGUCGUAACGAUGGCGAAGCGUGCAUACGCUCGAAAGCAUUAACUAGCCGCUUAACGAUUGCGAAAAUACAUUCCUUCGUCAGCGUUCGUAUAAUCGACCUCGGUUUUGCAAAUGCGUAUACAUUCCGCGAAUUCGUCCGGCAUCACCUUCAGCGAGGAACUUCGCUGUCGAUUAUUUCGACAGAGAAACGAAACUUAAAACGAACCAAAGCGACUUCUUUUAAAUACACUUCGAGGCUCUCGUUCAUAGUAGUUCUUUUAUACGCAAAUUAGUAAGGAUCAUCUCAACGCAUCGCAAACUGGCGAAGACCGAAUUGAUCAGCAUUGAAAGCAGAAACGCGAGGGUGGCGGAUCUUCACGACCCUGGCGCCACUUGCACGGCAGUCCAACGGGUUUAACGGUUUUUCUGAAGAUCCUGGUAUAAUCGAGUCUUCAACCUUUGUUAGCAAACCUCUUGGAUUUUUAAUUCGAAGAACGCCAUUGAAUCGUGCGACACGUUUGGAUCAAUGAGCGUGUAGAGACGCGUCUUCUAGGAUACUCGGAACUGUCGGUUUCGAAGCUGACGAAAAACAGAAACAAAUGACUUGUUUGGAAGAAGGUUUAGUUACAACUCACGAUAAUGGCAAAUGCAACAUUUACAAUGAUAUACACGCUGGGUAUGAAGAAAAACGAAAUUAAGCAAGAAGAAAGAAGUACAAAGUACACAAAUAACGCCACGAAUAAAUUACGGUACGGUCAAUUCCAAGCAAAUAUAAAUACGCAAUGUGUGAUAACACUGAGAAACAUUCUUGUCGCUAAUGUGAUAAAUAUUGUCUUCUCCUUGGUUAUACCUAAGGUCAUAAAGAAAAAUCCAGUUGUACUAACAUCAUUAUCCAUUACAGUUAUUCUUACUAAUUACAAAAUCUUAGAAAAUUUUACAAAAAUAUAUUUUUGUAGGAACGGCAAAUUAUUCUUAAAUAAAUGGUAAAUCCAUGACAAAUAUAGUUGAAUGGACAACUACUUCAUUCCCAACUAUUUUGUAUGUGCAACGAGAAUAGCAGAUAUGAGACCCUCGAUGACACAUGCUUUAACCAUGGCACAGCGGUUAAAGGUAAAACUGUACUACGUCUUAGUAGUUUUCACGUUUCCAAGUCGUAGUUGAUCAGAAGACAAAGCCGUUUUAGAUAGAGAGAACUUACCCUUUAUCAACAGAAAAACAAUUUUGUUUCUAUAAUAUAAGUUAUGACCCUUCAACGACCGUACAAAAUUAAGAGAGAACAUUUCCAGAAUAACGGAACUAAAAUUUAUUUUGGAAACGGAAGAAGUCUUUCAACGCUGAAUAAUUGCAAUCUGGCAGUUUUGCAAAAAGAGUACAACACCAACGAGCGGUAAAUUAAAAUCAUCAGUCCGUUCUGCAUUUAACGUGAUACGCAUGCGCUCAAGGAGCCGUAGAACGAAACAGAAAAAGACAAAUAGGACGCACAUGACGAACGGGCUUCCCAUGCGCACGUGUCGUAUUUACACCGACGGGCAAGACGGGAGAGCGCACACAUUGAAUACGCAGCGAAGAACCAACGUGUGCUACCUGCGCCUGAAACUGGCCUCUUGGCAGCGUAAAAAAACAAGUAGCAAUGGACAUUCGUUUCCCCUCAAUGCAACUCUCGAAAAGAACGCGAGACUCCUGUUGAAAGUGCUCAAUUUUUUCACACAAGAUUACAUAACUACAUUUGAUACUGCUGCUCUCCUCUCUUCAUGUAUCUUCUUCUUUUGUUCACAAAAAGGAAUACACAAAAGGUGAAUACUAAAUUCAAAUAUUCAGAAGAUAUCUACAUUUUAAUAUUUACUAAAAUAGAUCGAAAUUAGAAAAGGAACAGGCUUAAGAUUUUCAGAAAGUUACGUUUUAGGAAAUAACCAAUGACUAAACUUUCAAAUAUCAUAAAACGCUCACUGAGGAGUUUUGUCUGGCUUGUCUGAAGACUUUGUCUAAAGUCGAAGAUGCAACCGAAGAUAAAGUUCAAUGAUAAUCGCUCUGUAAGAUCAGGGUGUAAAAUGGAAAAAAGAAAAGAAAUAUGGAAGAGAAGAUGAACAAGUAGAAAAGGAGAAAAAUCCAGUGAUGUGUUGCGUACCGGCGCACGGGAAUAGCCAGCCCUAUCUCGUCUUUUCUU